GUGCCAGUGCUCGCUGGGGGUUGUGAGUCGCAGAAACAGGCUAUGUGUUUUUCUGACAGAUAGGUAUGUAGCAGAGUUUUUACUUCAUAAUCAGUUCACUUAGUCUGCAGGGUGUGCUGCAGGGAAGCUGGUCAGAAAAUCUCUGGAUAAUCAAUGUGCUUACAAAAAAAAAAAAAAAAAACUUAGUACGAAAAAAACAUCUACGUAAAUGCAAAGACGCUCGAAGGGGAGUGAGUCUGCCCUGUCACGCGUGGAAGGUGCCUUUUGAAAAAUGCAUAGGUAAAAGGACCGAAGCGCUGCUAGCCCAGUUGGCUAAAACGUAGCAACCUGUGCACGACCGGAGCAGGUCCACCUGGCGCUGGUCAAAAACGGGAAACUAACCACAUCCAAAACCCCGCCGCAAAGAGGCCGGCAAGGAAAGAAGGGCUUGAAGUGCACGACCCAGUGAAAUGUUGCAAACUGGAGUGGUUGGAGCCCUCCCAGCCGGGCUGGAUGGGAUACAAGCAUUGAAGCUCAGUUGCCUGGGUCCACGGGUGUGGUGGAAUGAGGUGAAAAGUCAUAUCAAGAUGGCCGCUGAGGUGAAAAGGUCAUGCCAAGAUGGCCACUGACAACAGAAACUGCCUGGCAACAGGCCGUGAUUGGAUGGCUUCGGAAACCACAUGACAACAGAGAGCCUGACUGACGGCAGGCCGUGAUUGGACGGUCAGAAACUGCCUGGCAACAAGAGCCUGACUGGCAACAGGCUGUGAUUGAAUGGCUUUGGAAACUGCCUGGCAACAGGCUGUGAUUGAUUGGGGCAUAGACCGCCCCUUGACCAGAUUGGCUGGUCUUGACUAUAUAAGCUGUUGUACUAACUGAAAUAAAUGAGUCUGCAGGCUGCUUGCCUCAAGCCCGCUUUCACCCGACUCCCGACGCCCAGGGUCUGUGUGGUGACUCUGCACCUCUUGCCCCUACCACGCUUCUCUCAGAAACGAAUCCACUGCAACAUUGUUGAGAAAUCAACUGCAACACAGGGGGUUAUUUUCAGUCUUUCUCUGAUUGCUACACACUCCUCCUGUUAUUGUAUCUCAUGUCAACAACAGAGUCCACAUGAAAAUACCAAGUCUGCCAAAUAAAAGGAAAGUGAGAAAUUUACAAAGAACAUCUAUACAACUUUACUGCCCAGCUGGACUCACGCUGGAGUAUAUUUCGUUGUUCUAGUUCUUCUGGUGUUGGUCUUUGACUCAGUCGCCUGGAAAGAAGAAAAGUAAGG